UACCAGCACCCCGAGUGGUCGGGACGUUUAUUGGGCCUAAAGCAUCCGUAGCCGGUUCUGCAAGUCUUCCGUUAAAUCCACCUGCUUAACAGAUGGGCCGCGGAAGAUACUAUAGAGCUAGGAGGCGGGAGAGGCAAGCGGUACUCGAUGGGUAGGGGUAAAAUCCGUUGAUCCAUAGAAGACCACCAGUGGCGAAGGCGGCUUGCCAGAACGCGCUCGACGGUGAGGGAUGAAAGCUGGGGGAGCAAACCGG
rnacentral:rRNA from 1 species